CCAAAAUACAAUCAUAAGUUUUUACACCCAACUUUGAUCCUGUCUUAUUUGAAAAAAAUUAUAAAUAGUAUUUUUGUUGUUGUGAGAUGAUAAAAUAUUUACAUUACUUUACUCAUGACUUAUGUUUUCAAUUUUUUUCAAAAACUUUUUAAAUAAGACGGACGGUCAAAGUUGGGCUCC
rnacentral:pre_miRNA from 1 species